rnacentral:rRNA from 1 species
UACGUAGGUGACGAGCGUUAUCCGGAAUUACUGGGCGUAAAGCGCACGCAAGCGGUUGGACAAGUCUGGCGUGAAAUCCUCUGGCUUAACCAGGGGCGGUCGCUGGAGACUGUUCGGCUUGAGGCGAUGAGAGGGGUGCAGAAUUCCCGGUGUAGUGGUGGAAUGCGUAGAUAUCGGGAGGAACACCAGUGGCGAAGGCGGUUGCCUGGGGCUUUGCUGACGCUGAUGCGCGAAAGCGUGGGGAGCGAUCCGG